CAUGAUUACCAUUCAUAUCCUUCACAGUGUUCCUAAUAGAUAGUUAUUAUUACACUAUCUUUAGCAACACUUUUGAGAUAAGGAAUGGGGAUAACGCUGCAAGAAUUAUAAA
rnacentral:pre_miRNA from 1 species